AAAAUCACGAUCAUCAAUCACGAUCGAUCGAAUUUUUUGGAUUAAACGCGUGAGCGAACGCGUGUGACUGACGGUACCAUGACGGCGUUGAGUGUGAAUCAAGCUUUAUUCUCCAAUUAAAUAUUAUCAAAAUCGAUUUUUUAUCCAUUACCAAUAAAAAAUAUGCACAAGUGCUACUUUAUUAAAGAUAUAAUACUUCUACAUCUAGGCUUUCUCGUAUGACAAUUAUAACACAGUUUAACAUAGAUUAUUAACUAUGUACUAUAUUUGUACGCUGAUAAUCGGUACCCUCUCAACCUGAUGAUGAACGCUAUCGGGAAUUCUGCUCGAAGUUAUCCGCGAAUAUAUGACGCUCUAGAAUUUGUCUUUUUUUCUUACCAACGAUCCGUCCAUGGUGCACGGCCACGAUCAGAAUUCUCAGGGAGGAUUUCUCGAAACGAGGAACGAGACGAAGGACGAUAAAACAUCUUUAAUGACCCGCGAUCUUGAGGCCGCGUUUCGCACCUGACUCGAACGAUCUUCAAAUUGACAUUUUAUAUCGCGUUAUCCGAGUCAUGCGAAGUCCGUAGGAUCUCUGCUACGAUGUUUAUCAAGCACAAGAGAUAGAGUUCAAGUACCCUCGCUCGACGAUCAGGAAUAAAGUUCAACAUCUAAAUUAGUCAGUUCCGUGAUAGAUGCACCGAAGAAAGUAUACCUAGCCGGCAAUCUGAAGCGGGAAAACGAGAAGACGAUUGCGCGAUACUUGGAUAGCUUCUUUUCUCAAAUUCGAGAUAGCCAGGCCGGAUCUUCAAAGCAGGAUGAUCCUGGAAAAGAAAGCGACGAAACAAAAGAAAAUACAGCGGUGAAGGAAUCAUCGAAGAAAGAAGCUACAGGAAUAAAAAUCGCACAAUCGAAUAAACUACGAAACGUAGAUAAUACCGUAAUUAAAUUAACAACUUUUGAUUAUCCUGGAACUUCGAAAUCGCAUCAACCUGCCAAAAAAUCAAAUUCGAAGCCUGGACACAGUAAAGUGAAGCCCACCCAGAGCAAAGCAACCCAAAUGCGUGAAAAUUUAAGUACACAAAGGCUACAAGCUAACGAAGAAAUCGAUGAUGAUUCUUCUUUGGAUGCAGAGGAUACCCAAGCAAGGCCCAAAUACAUUUUAGUCGGAUGGGACAAAUUUCGUUCCAAACUUAUGCUGAUACUAUUGAUUCUCUUUGUUUUAUGGGCAGUCAUCUAUUUUCCCAUAAUUCUAAAUAUUUAACGACAUCGGAAAAAAAUAAUAUUUUCUCUUCUUAUGAGCGAUAAAUAUGAUAUUCAGUGAAUUUUAAUAUGGGUAUAUACAUAUAUAUGUAUAUAUAUAUAUAUAUAUAUAAAGUAAGUUUCCAAUUCUUAGUAAGAAAUGAACGACUCUAGUUUGUAUUCAAAUUAUAUAUCGAGAAUGUUAUCUGUUCGUGAGCAAAUAGAACGUUUCCUUAAAUGUCAAUCAAAUUAUGAACUAGUUUAUCACGCUAUCGUAGUUGUG